rnacentral:rRNA from 1 species
GAUAUGAUAGUGGCGCACGGGUGCGUAACACGUAUGCAACCUACCUUAUAGACGGGGAUAGCCUUUGGAAACGGAGAUUAAUACCCGAUAGUAUAUAUUGAUGGCAUCAUUAGUAUAUUAAAGAUUUAUCGCUAUAAGCUGGGCAUGCGUCCAAUUAGUUAGUUGGUUAGGUAAUGGCUGACCAAGACGAUGAUUGGUAGGGGAACUGAGAGGUUAAUCCCCCACACUGGCACUGAGAUACGGGCCAGACUCCUACGGGAGGCAGCAGUAGGGAAUAUUGGGCAAUGGAGGCAACUCUGACCCAGCCAUGCCGCGUGCAGGAUGAAGGCGUUAUGCGUUGUAAACUGCUUUUAUAUAGGAAGAAACAGACCUUGCGAGGUAAUUUGACGGUACUAUAUGAAUAAGCACCGGCUAACUCCGUGCCAGCAGCCGCGGUAAUACGGAGGGUGCAAGCGUUGUCCGGAUUUAUUGGGUUUAAAGGGUGCGUAGGCGGUUUAUUAAGUCAGUGGUGAAAGACGGUCGCUCAACGAUUGUAGUGCCAUUGAUACUGGUAGACUUGAGUGAGAUUGAGGUAGCUGGAAUGGAUAGUGUAGCGGUGAAAUGCAUAGAUAUUAUCCAGAACACCAAUUGCGUAGGCAAGUUACUAAGUCUCAACCGAUGCUGAGGCACG